CCUACGGGUGGCAGCAGUGGGGGAUAUUGCACAAUGGGGGAAACCCUGAUGCAGCGACGCCGCGUGUGGGAAGACGGUCCUCUGGUUUGUAAACCACUGUCCCCAGGGAGGAAGAUGACGGUACCUGGGGAGGAAGCUCCGGCUAACACCGUGCCAGCAGCCGCGGUAAUAUGUAGGGGGGGAGCGUUGUCCGGAAUUCCUGGGUGUAAAGGGAGCGUAGGGGGGGAUGCAAGUUGGGUGUCAAAACUACCGGCUCAACUGGUAGUCGCACUCAAAACUGCAGCUCUUGAGUGAAGUAGAGGCAGGCGGAAUUCCUAGUGUAGCGGUGAAAUGCGUAGAUAUUAGGAGGAACACCAGUGGCGAAGGCGGCCUGCUGGACUGCAACUGACGUUGAGGCCCGAAAGCGUGGGGAGCAAACAGGAUUAGAUACCCCAGUAGUC
rnacentral:rRNA from 1 species